rnacentral:rRNA from 1 species
CGGAAUUAUUGGGCGUAAAGGGCUCGUAGGCGGUUUGUCGCGUCGGGAGUGAAAACCAGGUGCUUAACACCUGGCUUGCUUUCGAUACGGGCAGACUAGAGGUAUUCAGGGGAGAACGGAAUUCCUGGUGUAGCGGUGAAAUGCGCAGAUAUCAGGAGGAACACCGGUGGCGAAGGCGGUUCUCUGGGAAUAUCCUGACGCUGAGGAGCGAAAGUGUGGGGAGCGAACAGGAUUAGAUACCCUGGUAGUCCACACCGUAAACGUUGGGCGCUAGGUGUGGGGUCCAUUCCACGGAUUCCGUGCCGCAGCUAACGCAUUAAGCGCCCCGCCUGGGGAGUACGGCCGCAAGGCUAAAACUCAAAGGAAUUGACGGGGGCCCGCACAAGCGGCGGAGCAUGCGGAUUAAUUCGAUGCAACGCGAAGAACCUUACCUGGGUUUGACAUACACCCUGCCGCUCCAGAGAUGGGG